CGCGGCCUAUCAGCUUGUUGGUGGGGUAAUGGCCUACCAAGGCGACGACGGGUAGCCGGCCUGAGAGGGUGAUCGGCCACACUGGGACUGAGACACGGCCCAGACUCCUACGGGAGGCAGCAGUGGGGAAUAUUGCACAAUGGGCGGAAGCCUGAUGCAGCGACGCCGCGUGGGGGAUGACGGUCUUCGGAUUGUAAACCCCUUUCAGUAGGGACGAAGCGCAAGUGACGGUACCUGCAGAAGAAGCACCGGCCAACUACGUGCCAGCAGCCGCGGUAAUACGUAGGGUGCGAGCGUUGUCCGGAAUUACUGGGCGUAAAGAGCUCGUAGGCGGUUUGUCACGUCGUCUGUGAAAUCCUCCAGCUUAACUGGGGGCGUGCAGGCGAUACGGGCAGACUUGAGUACUACAGGGGAGACUGGAAUUCCUGGUGUAGCGGUGAAAUGCGCAGAUAUCAGGAGGAACACCGGUGGCGAAGGCGGGUCUCUGGGUAGUAACUGACGCUGAGGAGCGAAAGCAUGGGUAGCGAACAGGAUUAGAUACCCUGGUAGUCCAUGCCGUAAACGGUGGGCGCUAGGUGUGGGGUCCUUCCACGGACUCCGUGCCGUAGCUAACGCAUUAAGCGCCCCGCCUGGGGAGUACGG
rnacentral:rRNA from 1 species